rnacentral:rRNA from 1 species
AGAGUUUGAUCAUGGCUCAGAACGAACGCUGGCGGCGCGCCUAAUACAUGCAAGUCGAACGAGAAUGUGUAGCAAUACACAUGUACAGUGGCGAACGGGUGAGGACUACAUGGGUAACCUACCCUCGAGUGGGGAAUAACUAGCCGAAAGGUUAGCUAAUACCGCGUACGCUUCCAAGACUGCGGUUUUGGAAGGAAAGCGAUACCGUGGGUAUCGCGCUCUUGGAUGGGCUCAUGCCCUAUCAGCUUGUUGGUGAGGUAACGGCUCACCAAGGCUUCGACGGGUAGCUGAUCUGAGAGGAUGAUCAGCCACACUGGCACUGCGACACGGGCCAGACUCCUACGGGAGGCAGCAGUAAGGAAUAUUGCGCAAUGGGCGAAAGCCUGACGCAGCGACGCCGCGUGGGGGAUGAAGGUCUUCGGAUUGUAAACCCCUUUCGGGAGGGAAGAUGGGAUGGGGUAACCCAUUCGGACGGUACCUCCAGAAGCAGCCACGGCUAACUUCGUGCCAGCAGCCGCGGUAAUAC